rnacentral:lncRNA from 1 species
CAUUAACCACUGCGCCAUGAUGGUAACUCUGAGAGUUACUUCAUAGUUUAAAUAAGUAAAUUGUCACAGGCAUUUAUAGGUUAAAAUUGGCCUAAAAAUGACUUUUAAAUAAGCUGGUUUUCCUUGCUUUUAGUUGCUGUUGGCCCAAGGUGAUUAAAUUUUACUUUCUUUUUGGUGUUUAAAGUAAAGCUAAGAUGAAAUUAUUCAGAAGGCUUAAAUUAAUAUGGUUCUCUUACCUCACUAAAAUAAUUCAAAGAAACAGCCCCAAAUCCAAAGUGAGACUUAAACAAAGACACAUCUUUUGUUUAGCAAUUAGUAGUGGUGGAAAGGAAUUUAUUUUUAUAAAGACAGAAUGAUUUUUCCACUAAGUUUUGUUAGAUUUGUCCCACCCUUCCCUGGGAUAGGCUGCGAAAAGGUCAGUGAAAACCAAUUCAGGGAAACUGCAAAGCUAGGAAAAAAGAAAAAAGCUGAGAUUAAUACAGUAUGAUUUUAGAAACCUUCUUUAUACUUGUUUAAAGGGCUGCAGACCCACAGAAAUUGGCUUGCUAUAGCAACUUUGAGACUUGACUCUCUUGCUACCUCCUGACUUGUCUUUUUCUGAACAGAGAGUGAUUUUGUCUGUGUUUUAGGAGGGUACAGCUGGGAGCAACUUGGAGUACAGAUUGGAGGAGAUGGUGAUAGGAACACCAAGGAGGGGAGAUGCAUUCCAGAAAAGGCAUUUUUAAAAUAUUUAAUCAUUCAUGAGUUGAGCUUCAUUCUUGAGUCAUGGAUGACAAGGCUUCUGUUGGAAAAAUCAGUGUCUCCUCAGACUCUGUGUCUACUCUUAAUAGUGAAGAUUUUGUCUUGGUUUCCAGGCAAGGAGAUGAGACACCAUCUACAAAUAAUGGAAGUGAUGAUGAGAAAACGGGACUCAAGAAUGUAUGGAGUGGAAGUGAGGACAUAGAAAUAAUAUCCUUUCUUUUUUUAAUGCUAAGACUUUUAUUUAUUAUUAAUAAGUGUGACACAUUUAUAUCUGAUUAAGGAUUUUCAAUUUGAUUAGUUUCUAAAUCUUCUAAUUCCCUAACUGUAAAAACCAGUGAUCAUGGCAUAAAUAUUUGUUAUUUUAGUAUUGUUUUCAAUUUUCCAUUGAGUUAGAGGUGGUUGAUUGUUUUGGGCCUGGUGUAUGUAGUGUAAAGACAGUGGCAGGUCAGCAAUGCUUUUUAGACGAAUAGGUUUUAGAAUUAUUAAAACAGAACUUAAAAUUCCUGGCUUUUGACUACUUCUAUUUGUUUAUAUUUUCUCAGUAAAAUAGAUGGCUGUUACUUCUUUCCCCAUACUCUGUUACUGUUCUGCUCUUUAUGGAUAUAAAUUAAAAACAUUAUCUGUUAAUGUCACUUAAAAUGUAAGUGGCUUUAAAAAUAUUUUGAUUCUUGUUUAUAUAUAUUUUUUCAACAAGUGUUUAUUGAGUAUUAACUUUGUGCCAAGUACUGUUCUAAAUACUGGAGGGAGAUACAGUAGUGAAUAAGACAGGCAAGCCCCUCUGCCCUCCUAGAGCUUUUAAUGUUUUGGGGGAAACAGACUCUUAGGCAAAUGAGAAAAUGAGUAUAUUAAGUAAAUUUAGAUGCUUUGAAGAAAAAAGAGUGAAUGGCAAAUACUGCUGUAGAGAAUGUCUUGAAGUGACAUUUUAGCAGAGAUCUGAAUGAAAUCAGGAGGAACUUGUCCAUGGAGAAAUCUGAAGAGAGAGCUUUCCACAGAGAAUAGAAAAUAAAAAAACUGAGGGGGACCA